GCGAUUAUGGUGCAUAAGGAAAUCCUUAUGCACCCUGCAUAAAUCCAGAAAUGAUUUUGGAGUACAACUCACAUAAAUCAUUUCCACAGCAAAAUGGUUUUGACAUAAUUUUAUGCAGGGUGCUGGAAAUCCUUAUGCAUGGUGCUGAAAACCAUGAAGUACAUCUAAUGGUUUUGAAGUACAACUCACAGAAACCAUUUCUAGAUUUAUGCAGGGUGCAUAAGGAUUUUCUUAUGCACCAUAACCG
rnacentral:pre_miRNA from 1 species